GUGCUCGCUUCAGCAGCACACACACUAAAAUUAGAAUGAUACAAGAGAUUAGCAUGGCCCCUGCGUGAGGAUGACACACAAAUUCUCGAAGGCUUCCAUGGUUUU
rnacentral:snRNA from 1 species